rnacentral:rRNA from 1 species
UACGAAGGGGGCUAGCGUUGCUCGGAAUCACUGGGCGUAAAGGGCGCGUAGGCGGAUCUUUAAGUCGGGGGUGAAAGCCUGAGGCUCAACCUCAGAAUUGCCUUUGAUACUGGAGAUCUUGAGACCGGAAGAGGUGAGUGGAACUGCGAGUGUAGAGGUGAAAUUCGUAGAUAUUCGCAAGAACACCAGUGGCGAAGGCGGCUCACUGGUCCGGUACUGACGCUGAGGUGCGAAAGCGUGGGGAGCAAACAGG